AUCAACGCUGGCGGCGUGCCUCAGACAUGCAAGUCGAACGAUGAAGACUUCCUUCGGGAAUGCAGUAAAGUGGCGCACGGGUGAGUAACACGUAGGUAAUCUGCCCUCGGAGUGGGGAAUAACGCCGGGAAACCUGAGCUAAUACCGCAUAACUGCAGCGGCACCACAUGGUGACAGUUGUUAAAGGGGAUCGGACAUCGCGCUUGAAGAGGAGCCUUGCGGCAGAUUAGCUAGUUGGUAGGGUAAUGGCUUACCAAGGCUACGAUCUGUAGCCGGUCUAGAGAGGACGGUCGGCACACUGACACUGACAUACGGGUCAGACUCCUACGGGAGGCAGCAGUCGGGAAUUUUGGGCAAUGGGCGAAAGCCUGACCCAGCAACGCCGCGUGAAGGAUGAAUAUUCCUCGGGAUGUAAACUUCGAAAGAACGGGAAGAGGAACGCUAAACGUGGACGGUACCAUUUAGUAAGUCCGGCUAACUACGUGCCAGCAGCCGCGGUAAUACGUAGGGGAGCCAAGCGUUGUUCGGAUUUACUGGGCGUAAAGGGCGCGUAGGCGGCAUAUGAAGUCAGCUUGUGAAAUCUCCGAGGCUUAACUCGGAACGGUCACUGAUACUGCAGGUGCUUAGAGUGCAGAAGGGCAAUCGGAAUUCUUGGUGUAGCGGUGAAAUGCGUAGAUAUCGAGAGGAACACCUGAGGCGAAGGCGGGUUGCUAGGCUGACACUGACGCUGACAGCGCGAAAGCCAGGGGAGCGAACGGGAUUAGAUACCCCGGUAGUCCUGGUCCUUAAACGAUGAAUAGCUUGGUGUCUGGAGUCUUUAUAGUCUCCGGGUGCCGUCAGCUAACGGUUUAGUAUUCCGCCUGGGGAGUACGCUCGCAAGACUGAAACUCAAAGGAAUUGACGGGGACCCGCACAAGCGGUGGAGCAUGUGGUUCAAUUCGACGCAACGCGAAGAACCUUACCUAGGCUAGAAUGCUCGAGGAAUCGUAGAGAUACGGCUCAGGUCCGGGAAACCUAGCGGAGGCCAACAGGUGCUGCAUGGCUGUCGUCAGCUCGUGUCGUGAGAUGUUGGGUUAAGUCCCGCAACGAGCGCAACCCUUAUCGAUUAGUUGCUAGCGGUUCAGUGGGCACUCUAUUGAGACUGCCGUGACAAACCGGAGGAAGGUGGGGAUGACGUCAAGUCCUCAUGGCCCUUAUGGUCAGGGCUUACACACGUGAUACAAUGGCGCGUACAAGAGGUUGCCAACUCGCGAGCUGGAGCCAAUCGCUAAAAGCGCGUCUCAGUCCGGAUUGGCAGUCUGCAACUCGACUGCAUGAAGUCGGAAUCGCUAGUAAUCGCAGAUCAGCAUGCUGCGGUGAAUACGUUCCCGGGUCUUGUACACACCGCCCGUCACAUCCAUGGAAGUGGGUUGUCACUAGAAGUCGUCGCGCUAACCCGCAAGGGUGGCAGCCGACCACGGUAUGAUUCAUGACUGGGGUG
rnacentral:rRNA from 1 species